CAAAGCAUUUUAUCUCAUUCAUGUAACAUUUCUGAGGCUCAGACAUGGGAUUCUCUUUCUCUCCUGUACAGCAUCAGAGAGUUCCUACUUGAAGGUUUUCAAGCUCAACUUCACCACCAUCAACCUGUUCUACACAACAGACAUGGCUCCAGCAAAUUCAACUCCACUGAGGAUGUCCUGCAACCCCUUAUCAACUCCUUGUUUAGAAAAAGCAGCUUUGGCCCUCACUAUUUUGGAUGCAGGCUGACUUUGUUAAGGUCUAUGAAGAAUAGGACAGCAACAGGAGUGGAUGUCGAAUGUGCUUAUCAGGAAGAUUCCUCCACCCCUGUCCUGGACUGAGAGAAGAUUUGCUGGGAGCUGAGUGAACAGACCCAUGGAAUAGCAAGGCCGGGACCCUACAUUCUACAUAAGGAAAGCCUCUAUGUGGAUGGUGAGUGAAUUGGAACAUGUAUCUUUGUUUCUCUAGGUGGUUCCAUUUCCAGAAAUCGAUCAGCCUGCCCCAAAUUCUUUCCUUUUAAACCACCUUUGUCUUCAUGGUUUUUUUUUUCCUACCCCUCCUGGGAGCACUGGCUCUCUAAGUUAUGGCAAACUAUAAAGACAAGGGUGGGUUUACUUCUAAAGAUUAUAAGUGACUUGGUUUCUCUUAGGCUCCUUAAACUAUUUACUCCAUGAAUCCCUUCCUCUUGAAUAAGUAAGUGCCUUGAAUGAUGAAAUACCAUUUUACCAAACCUAUGGGUCUCAGAACAUCUCUCCAUUCCUUCUGUCAACUUUUUCACAGAUAAAACUACCAUAUCAAAUAUUUAUAUCUCUCCCUUCCCCCCUCUCUUUCUCUCUCUCUCCCCACACCAAUCACUACUUUCUUUUCUCCUUCCUCUUUUGUCUCCUUCUGCUCACUCUUCUCUUUUCUCUAUCUACCCUCUUCUCUUAUCUUCACUUGUCUUCUGUCCUGUUCUCUUCCAUUAUGUUCUAUUCUCCUUUCACCUCAUUUCAUCUGUUUCCCUGAGUUUUUUUUCCUCCCCUCUUCUUUGCUUCCAUCCUCAUUCAUCUUUCCUUCUCUCCUUCCCUCUAAAUUUCUUUUUUCCUUCUCUUAUUUUUCUUCUCCCUUUCCAAAUUACAGGGUAUAAUCAUCAGAUACCAACCACCACCACAAACAGUAAAUUUUAAAUUUCUUAAUUGCUUUAUUUUAUGGGAGAUUGCAAUGAAAUUUUCUUUACUUUUUGGCGAAGGGGGGCUGUGGUAGGGCAGAGGAGAAAGAGUGGGUUGGGGGUUCAGAAUGAGGUAUUCUGUAAGAUGUGGCCAAUAUACAGAUUUUCUUUACUCAUUUGCCUAGGUUUUUUUUUUAAUUCAAAGCAUAUCUAAAUUAUUCAAAAAGGGGAAAAUACCCAAUAGGACUUGGAACACCCCUAUCCCCUUCUUCAUCUGUAUUUAGAGUCAAACCUUUGUGGUCUUUGUAACCCUGGUACACAGAAGUGAUUUCUCAGCAUUACAGGGAGACUUGUGCCCCUCCUCUAUAACUUUCAUUCAGCUAUGUUGGUAAAUGGUUUUCAUUAAAAAUAUUUUACUUUUUCCCUCCUUCAAUAAUUGCAUUCUCUCCAAACUUGUCUCUUGCUUGGGCAUCAUUAUCCUCUAGCAUUAUAGAUAGGAAAUGAGUGAUGGUUUACUUCCUCUCCUGGCAAGGUUUAAUUAAGACUAAAGUACCCAAGAACAUAAAGCAGGAAAUGGGAGGGGUCAGGAAAGAUGUACUCCUAGGUGUCAGGUAUGACAAUGAAUGUAAUGAUCUCUUCUCACAAGGACCCUGUAUUCUAAAAAGAGUGACAACUAUUCCAGAGAGAAAUCUAAGUAGAAUAAAAACAAAGAAUAACUAUAACUACCA
ensembl:lncRNA